rnacentral:rRNA from 1 species
GACGAACGCUGGCGGCGUGCUUAACACAUGCAAGUCGAACGGAAAGGCCCUGCUUUUGUGGGGUGCUCGAGUGGCGAAAGGGUGAGUAACACGUGAGUAACCUGCCCUUGACUUUGGGAUAACUUCAGGAAACUGGGGCUAAUACCGGAUAGGAGCUCCUGCUGCAUGGUGGGGGUUGGAAAGUUUCGGCGGUUGGGGAUGGACUCGCGGCUUAUCAGCUUGGUGGUGGGGUAGUGGCUUACCAAGGCUUUGACGGGUAGCCGGCCUGAGAGGGUGACCGGCCACAUUGGGACUGAGAUACGGCCCAGACUCCUACGGGAGGCAGCAGUGGGGAAUAUUGCACAAUGGGCGGAAGCCUGAUGCAGCAACGCCGCGUGCGGGAUGACGGCCUUCGGGUUGUAAACCGCUUUCGCCUGUGACGAAGCGUGAGUGACGGUAAUGGGUAAAGAAGCACCGGCUAACUACGUG